GCCAUGGAACAGCUUGAUGCCUGGAGAGCAGCACCCAGAAACAGCUUUCAGCCCAGAUUGCUAAUUAGAAUUUUUUCACUGUGUGUGAAAUUUCCAGGAUCAGCAUGGAAUGUCAUCUGCGUCUCCUGCAGGCAUCUCCUCCCAAACACGGCUUCCUAAACCUGUCUUGCCAGUCAAGUCCCACAGCUGCUCUGCCAAGUUAUACAGGCUUCCUCUGAAAAGCUGUUCUGGACUUGCAUGUGCUUGGAGGAACGAAAGCAAGGAAAGUGAAACCCUCCACUUGUUUCCAGGAUCUCUCAUCCUGAAAUUGUCUCCUCAGCCCCAUGCCCAGUCCACUCAGUUGGAGCUUUCUCGGAAUCCAUUGCUGAUGAUGCCCCUUGGAGAAUUCUGAUGAUUUGGGGUGAGGAGAGGCACCACAUCUGGAAGCAUCUAAAGUCACCAGCCCAUGAGAUGCAAGAGCAGUGCUGAAGAAGAGAUAGAAGAAGGGUGUCUCCCACGUUUAGCCCAUGAGCCUCAGAGCAGCUCUGCUUAUACCAGUGUCCUCAACCUCCUCAUAACAGCAGCCCCUCUGGCUUUCCUUCUAAGUCCUCUGUCUGCAUGAGGAACCCAUGAGGGACUGACCCUCUGCCAUACCCUCCAUCCUCCAGUCUCAGCUUCUCUUCCUUCCUAGGCAACCCCACCAUCGACACCUUCCAUACUCUCUGGCCAGCAAAGGCCCAGUGCAUGUCACUGCCUGUAGACAGGAGCUCAGAGUUCCACAGAUGAGCUAUCUGUCCAAUCAAAAGCAAACCUCACAUCUCUCUGAAUCCCACUUUGGAAGCAGCUACUGCACCUUGCAAUGUGAAUUUUCUAAUUCCAGAUUCUCUGUCCUGUUGUAACGUAUGUGUCAAACCAUGUGUUUCCAUUUUAAGGCUUGAAAAAUAUGGUCAGCGUGGCUCUGGGGGCUUGCACUGCCCUUAAGUCCCUUCUGAGUCAUGCCCAGCUGUCUUAGAGCACAGGGCAGGCUCCUACACCUUCCCUGCCAGAUGCCUUCUGGCCAAGUUGGGUGCUGGAGGGAAGACCUGUGUCUCUCAAACACCCUCGUUGCUCUCUUUCUCAGCCAGAGAGCGCUAUGUGCCCAGGAGGAAAAAGUUGACCCCAGUCCGAGGCCCAACAAUCAAGUUUUGUUUAGGAUAUAAGGCCGUUGAAUUGGGCUUAUUUAUUUUCUCUGCACUUGUGUUUCCUAAGUUUUUCCACAUUAUUUCUAAUUUGGGCUGUUAGGGGAAAAAUUAAAAACCACUGAUAAUGGAAUAUCUUGGUGGUUACUGCAUUAAAAACCAGCUGGCUAAAGUAGGUUUGGAAGAUCUUAGAAGGCAAUCUCUGACUCAAACACUGUGCAAAUCAAAACUGGGAGAGUCCACAGGCCAAGGAGCAGCUGAAACACUAAAUGCACUCCCUCCCUAGUGAAAACACAUGUGGACUCAUGUGAACGGCAUCCUCUCGCCUCCAUCUGCUCCUGGAAAUAAUGAAAUAGAGCGAUGGGAACUGCUCUUUGGAUUGGGGACCCCCAGGCAUCCCUAACCUGUGGCCCUAUCUGUGACCCUUUAUCUAUCUGCCUUGCUCAAAGCUAUGUUUUCAUGAGCACAUGGUAAAGCCUUAAUGGAUAUUUGUUGAAUAAAUGAAGGAAUUAGGAAUGGGAUAGAAUACA
rnacentral:lncRNA from 13 species